GACCUGGUGGUGAAUGGAUCACACCCACCCUUCUUAAAAGUUUGCAGCAUGUAAGGUGGGAGUCCCCGGUUCGAUUCCGGGCCAGGUCA